AGAAAAGUAAGUCAGUUUAUUCAUUUGCCUAUUCACAUUUCUUUUUUUCAACGCAGAACAGAAAGAGUUGACCACUAAACCAACUUGCUGUUAAGGGAGUAAACUUUUUUUAUGGCUUUUUGAUUAGUUUUCAGCGCUUUAAGCCCCUCUGGGAGUCCGAGUGAAGUCAAUUUAAAUUAAAAGAAGCACGCGCUGUUGCAUAUCGAAGUGGCAAGGGAAAAGUGCACAGAACGCAGUGGGCAAGGGUCGAGGCAGGAGACGAAACAAAAGUUAAAUUGCAGCACCUUGUUGCCCCCUUUGGCCAGUCGGCAGUCGCUAUGCUGUGCAUUAUUUAGCACGUCAAAAAGUUCAUAACUGCGUUGCGCUCGUGAAUCGUAAUUUUUCUUUCGCCAUGCUGCACACUUUCAUUACUUCAUCACUUCAGCACGAGAGCCACAACAACGAGGAUGAUGAAGGAGAAAGGAGUAGGAAGGAGGAGGAUGAAGAAGAGGAAUAGAAGUACUCUUCGCAUCGGAACUGUGUGCGCCAUUUAUUAUGCUAUGAAAUUUGAGUCUGAGUUUUUGUUUAUGUAUUAAGACGAAGGCGACGCGUUGCGACGGAAGCGCGAUAGAGUUUUUCAUUUACUCCUUUUUAUGAUUUUCAAGUUAAUGUUCAUUUAUGGUGGUUACACGUCGACUUGCUCGAGUUUGUUUAAUUAGACGGUGUGGAUUUUAUUGCAAAGGACUUGAGCUCCUCCGCAUUAAACACUGAAAUGCGGUGUUGAAGAAGCUGCCUUCUCCCUCCAGUUUCCAAAAGUUGUUUAUGUUUAAUUGUCGAGUUGGUUGCCAAAAUUUGUUCAGCUGCAGAAGAGGUUUAACUUCAGAACU